UGUCUUCGAGUCGUUGAUUUCACACUGCCGAGAAAAGCCUCUAGAUAGAAAAUAGGUGCCCGUACCGCAAACCGACACAGGUAGUCAAGAUGAGAAUUCUAAGGUGAGCGAGCGAACUCUCGUUAAGGAACUCGGCAAAAUGACCCCGUAACUUCGGGAGAAGGGGUGCUCUUUAGGGUUAACGCCCAGAAGAGCCGCAGUGAAUAGGCCCAAGCGACUGUUUAUCAAAAACACAGGUCUCUGCUAAACCGUAAGGUGAUGUAUAGGGGCUGACGCCUGCCCGGUGCUGGAAGGUUAAGAGGAGUGGUUAGCUUCUGCGAAGCUACGAAUCGAAGCCCCAGUAAACGGCGGCCGUAACUAUAACGGUCCUAAGGUAGCGAAAUUCCUUGUCGGGUAAGUUCCGACCCGCACGAAAGGCGUAACGAUUUGGGCACUGUCUCAACGAGAGACUCGGUGAAAUCAUAGUACCUGUGAAGAUGCAGGUUACCCGCGACAGGACGGAAAGACCCCGUGGAGCUUUACUGUAGCCUGAUAUUGAAAUUCGGCACAGCUUGUACAGGAUAGGUAGGAGCCUUUGAAACGUGAGCGCUAGCUUACGUGGAGGCGCUGGUGGGAUACUACCCUAGCUGUGUUGGCUUUCUAACCCGCACCACUUAUCGUGGUGGGAGACAGUGUCAGGCGGGCAGUUUGACUGGGGCGGUCGCCUCCUAAAAGGUAACGGAGGCGCUCAAAGGUUCCCUCAGAAUGGUUGGAAAUCAUUCAUAGAGUGUAAAGGCAUAAGGGAGCUUGACUGCGAGACCUACAAGUCGAGCAGGGUCGAAAGACGGACUUAGUGAUCCGGUGGUUCCGCAUGGAAGGGCCAUCGCUCAACGGAUAAAAGCUACCCCGGGGAUAACAGGCUUAUCUCCCCCAAGAGUUCACAUCGACGGGGAGGUUUGGCACCUCGAUGUCGGCUCAUCGCAUCCUGGGGCUGUAGUCGGUCCCAAGGGUUGGGCUGUUCGCCCAUUAAAGCGGUACGCGAGCUGGGUUCAGAACGUCGUGAGACAGUUCGGUCCCUAUCCGUCGUGGGCGUAGGAAAUUUGAGAGGAGCUGUCCUUAGUACGAGAGGACCGGGAUGGACAUACCUCUGGUGUACCAGUUGUCGUGCCAACGGCAUAGCUGGGUAGCUAUGUGUGGACGGGAUAAGUGCUGAAAGCAUCUAAGCAUGAAGCCCCCCUCAAGAUGAGAUUUCCCAACUUCGGUUAUAAGAUCCCU
rnacentral:rRNA from 1 species